rnacentral:tRNA from 1 species
GCGCGAUUAGCUCAAUUGGUAGAGCGUUUCUUUGACGUAGAAAAGGUAGCAGGUUCGAAUCCUGCAUCGCGCA